CAGUCGCCGCGGGAAUACGGAGGGGGCUAGCGUUGUUCGGAAUUACUGGGCGUAAAGCGCACGUAGGCGGCUUGGUAAGUUAGAGGUGAAAGCCCGGAGCUCAACUCCGGAAUUGCCUUUAAGACUGCCGAGCUAGUAGGUGAGAGAGGUAAGUGGAAUUCCGAGUGUAGAGGUGGAAUUCGUAGAUAUUCGGAAGAACACCAGUGGCGAAGGCGGCUUACUGGCUCAUUCUAGACGCUGAGGUGCGAAAGCGUGGGGAGCAAACAGGAUUAGAUACCCCGGUAGUCCCUGUCUCUUAUAC
rnacentral:rRNA from 1 species